ensembl:lncRNA
GAGUCCGCUAGAUUAGAGGCCAUAGAGAUGACCAGGGAUUUUCUCUUGAUAAAUGCGUGAAUUAGACAAUUUUCUUGUCCUACUAAGCAUUCAAAACGUAACAAGUACUUUUGGGUGUUAAGGAAAUUGUUUGGAGUAAAUAGUACAUAAUUUUCUUUAGGAAUCAAAUCAAAUCAAACUGUAUUUGUCACAUGCGCCGAAUACAAGUGUAGAAAUGCUUACUUUACAAGCCCUUUACCAACAGUGCAGUUCAAGAAAGAAUAUAGUGAAGUAAAAGUCAAAGUUGUAAAAAAGAAACGACUUAAGUAGUAAGUUCAAGUAAUUUUCUUAAGUACGUUACACCACUGCCGGUGGGGCUUUACUUGGCUCAUCGCGUUGUAGCAACUCCUUCGCAAGUGUCACACCCUGACCUUAGUUAUCUUUGUUUUCUUUAUUAUUUUGGUUAGGUCAGGGUGUGACGAGGGUGGUAUGUGUGUUUUUUGCCUUGUCUAGGGUUUUUUGUAUUCUAUGGGGUUUUGGAAUGUCUAGGUAUAUGUAGGUCUAUGGUGGCCUGAAUUUGUUCCCAAUCAGAGACAGCUGUUUAUCGUUGUCUCUGAUUGGGGAUCCUAUUUAGGUUGCUGUUUUCCAUUUUGGUUUUGUGGGUUAUUGUCUGUGUAGUUGCCUGUCAGCUUCACUUUCGUGUUGUUAGUUUGUUUAGUGUUCGUCGUAUAAUAAAAGGAAGAAUGUAUUCUUAUCACGCUGCGCCUUGGCCUCCUUAUGACGAACAUGACAGAAUAACCCACCAUAACAGGACCAAGCAGCGUUAAAAGGAGGAGCAGACGUUAUGGACUUGGGAAGAGAUUUUGGAUGGAACAGGAUCCUGGACAUGGGAGGAAAUACUAGAUGGAGCAGGACCCUGGACGCAGCCUGGCGAGUAUCGAGAGAGGAGAAAUACCGGAGAAUAGAGGAACGGCGACGAUAUGAGGGUACACGGCUAGCACGGAAGCCAGAGAGGCAGCCCCAAUAAAAAAAAACAAUUUGGGGGGGCAGACGAGGAGAUUGGAUGAGUCAGGUAGGAGACUUGAGCCAGGGAGCGUGUAACUGGUCGUGUAACUGGUGAGGCACCGUGUUAUGCAGAGAUGAGCACAGUGUCUUCAGUGCGCUAUUCUAGCCUGGUGCGCUCUAUUCCAGCUCCUCGCAUUUGCCGGGCUAGAAUGGACAUCCAGCCAGGACGUAUUGAGCCAGCUCUAUGUUCUGGAUCUCCAAUGCGUCUCCACGGUCCAGUGUAUCCUGUCCCUCUUCCCCGCACUCGCCCUGAGGUGUGUGUCCCCAGCCCGGUACCACCAGUGCUGGCACCACGCACCAGGCCUACAGUACCCAGUCCAGAGCGUCCGGCGACAGUACCCAGUCCAGAGCGUCCGGCGACAGUACCCAGUCCAGAGCGUCCGGCGACAGUACCCAGUCCAGAGCGUUCGGUGACAGUACCCAGUCAGGAACCUCCAACAACGGGCCACAGUCCGGGGUCUCCAGCGACGGUCCCCAGUCCAGAACAUCCAGCGAUGAUCAGUGCAGCGAGGAUCCACGCAGCGAGGGUCCCCAGCCCGGGGCCUACGGCGAGAACCCGCAGUCCAGAGCCCCCGACGAAGAUCCACGGGUCAGGGCUACAAGAGCGGACUCAGGGUAAAGAAGGGGGGGCUGCGUUCAGAACCAGAGCCGCCACCGAGGUUAGAUGCCCACCCAGACCCUCCCAAAUAGGUUUAGGUUUGCGGCCGGGAGUCCGCACCUUUGGUGGGGUACUGUCACGCCCUGACCUUAGUUAUCUUUGUUUUCUUUAUUAUUUUGGUUAGGUCAGGGUGUGACGAGGGUGGUAUGUGUGUUUUGGUCUUGUCUAGGGUUUUUUGUAUUCUAUGGGGCUUUGGAAUGUCUAGGUAUAUGUAGGUCUAUGGUGGCCUGAAUUGGUUCCAAUCAUAGACAGCAGUUGAUCGUUGUCUCUGAUUGGGGAUCCUAUUUCGGUUGCCAUUUUCCAUUUUGGUUUUGUGGGUUAUUGUCUGUGUAGUUGCCUGUCAGCUUCACUUUCGUUUUGUUAGUUUGUUUUGUGUUCAUCGUAUAAUAAAAGGAAGAAUGUAUUCUUAUCACGCUGCGCCUUGGUCACCUUAUGACAAACGUGACAAAGGUUGCCAACAUUAGCUCAUUAAUAACCUCUUACAGCUACCCCCCUUUCCGCCUGAAGACAUACCCAAAUCUAACGGCCUGUAGCUCAGGCCCAGAGCCAAGGAUAUGCAUAUUAUUGGUUUCAUUUGAAAGAAAACACUCUGCAGUUUGUGUUAAUGUGAAUUGAAUGUAGGAGAAUAUAACACAAUAGAUCUGGUUUAGAUAAUACAAUGAAAAAACCAUACGUUUUUUCUUUUUAUUGUUGUAUCAUCUUUCAAAUGAACAAGACAAAACAAACAUUCAGAUAGGAUGAUGGGGACAAGUUCAGUGAAAAACAUAAGAGGGCAACAGUACUUGUUCAGAAAGAUUUCUUCCAAAAUGAGUCUGCUACAUGACAUUUAUCAUGAAGUCACCCAGGUGUCCCACACAAGUAGCCCAAAUGUACCCAAGUGGCCAAAUUGGUGAAGUUAUACAUUUUGAAUGGAAUAACUAUAUACAAUUUACCAAAAUGGUAUUUUAACACACCCCCGCCAAAAAAGUGGAGAAAAACAUGAAAAAAUAUAUAUACAUUUACAAAAUAACACUUUCAAUAUUUGGAAGACCCUCAGUCCUCUACACAAUAUUGUGCUGCUGAUGCCAGGUGCCAUAGCAGUCUCUUUUUGCUGUAAAGCAGAGGGUCACCAAGCAUGUGGUGCAGGUGAUGGGGGACUUCAUUUUGCAAAGAACACAGCGACGCCUCCAUGCUGUGCCCUUUUGGCCCUGAGGCACAUCCAUGCAUGCAGAAAUACAUUUGGGCAGAUGAACACCACUUGUGGCAGGAGCAGAAGGGACAGAGGUAGAGGGGCCAGAACGUGGUGCAUUGGUGCUGUAGCCAGCAAGCUCCUUGAUGAGCAGCUCUCUGAAGGCUAGCUGUGAGAUGGGGGGCUUUCCACAGCUCUUAGCCAUUUCCUUGUGUAGGAUGAAUGCAUUCACCACAGUAAUGUCGAUAAAAUGAUAGAAGAAGGUCUUGUACCAUUUCAUCGUCUUAUGGAGAACAUUGUAAUAGCCUAUCAGCGCAUCUGACAGGUCCACACCUCCCAUGCUCUUGUUGUAGUCCUUUAUUGCAGUUGGAAUGGGGACAUUUUCUGCGGUCCAUGCCCCAGUAGCGCUGAGACAACAGGUGUCCGCCUGGAUGAACCAGCUUCAGUGGGGGAUGGACACCUUGGCACUGGGGGCUCCCAUUCAGAGUCAGUGUCACUGUGAAAGAAAAUGUUCAGUUAGAAUAGUUUCACAUAUGAGCCCUGUAUCAACAGGUAUAAUAAUCAGAUAUAUAUAGAGUACAGGGAACAUAAGGUUGAAUAUAUUAUUAUAGACCUGCUAGAUCUACUGUCUCAUUUAUAUUAUGACAGACCAGCUAGAUCUACUGUCUAUUUUAUAUUAUGACAUUUCAGCUAGAUCUACGGUCUCUAUUAUAUAUGACAGACCAGCUAGAUCUACUGUCUUUAUUAUAUUACAACAGACCAGCUGUAUCUACUGUCUCCAUUUCACUUUGGCCAUUGUUGUGGGCCUGCCCUCCCCUCAACAGCGUCAAAUAGGCUAUUUCAUGUGGGGGUGGGGUGGAGCAGCAGACACACGCAUCUCGGCCAUGCUCCCUCUAAUCCACAAUAUGUAUAUAUACACACACAAACAUAGGCUAUGGGUCAUACACAUACAUACAAACAUACCCCCACCCACAAUCUAUAGCCAACGUGUACUUUACACAUUUCAGUACAUUUUUAUAUAUUGCUACUAACAUUUAAAAUAAAUCACAAAUAAUAUUUUAGAUUAUUAAUUUCAAACAACGGCAUUAGCAUGAGAAGAACUUACCAGUCCAAAACGAUGUCCUCUCCGUUAAAAAAAUAUUCCUCCAUUUGGGAAUCAAAACUAUGCUAGCUAAAUGAAUCGUCCUCCAACAAUCCCCUUUCCCGAUCAAUUUCUUCUAAAAUUGUGUGUACAUCUGUAUAUCUAGACUUAGAUUUAGCUUUCCCUGGACUUAGUCGCCAUACUGAUUGAUAUAUAAACAGCUGAAGAUGCGCUUUACCAAAAUAGUGCUGUACACAACAUGAGUGGCUCCUUCCAGUAUGAAUCUUCAAUGGCGAAUGACCAUCUUUACGCCGGAGUUUACUACAUGGGUUGGUCUUCCAACACAUAACCAUUACAUAUUGCCAUUUACCUCAGCUCAUUGGCUAUCCACCAAGCUAGAUUUCAAGACGACCAAUGGUCAUUGGGUUAAAAUACAGUCAAUCAACGAAACAGCGGUCAUAUCAUUGGUGCACAAUGAUGUCAUUACUUGUUGUCUUCAAAUUGGUUUCUUUCAGUCAAUACGUCCCGCGAAAUGACCCAUCAUGUUUUGUUGUGUUACAAACAAUCAGUUGAUUGCAAUGAAACCAAACAUGACUGGAUGAAGUCACGUUUAGUGUGUGUAUUUACAUCGAAUGUGUCGUCGAAAAUUGAAUGAGACGGAAUUCACGACACAAGCGGUUCACAAAAUGUUUCGUGUUAGGCUAUAAAAAUGGAUUUUAUCAAACAAAAGACCAUUCAUUGUGUAACAAUGAGCAUUGGGAUUGCAAACAGAGGAAGAUCGUCAAAGGUAAAAAUGUAUUUUAUUGCAAUUUGUUAUUUUGUUAUGCCUGUGCUGGUUGAAAUAGUUUUUUUUAUGGGGCUCUGUCCUCAGAUAAUCGCAUCGUAUUCUUUCGCAGUAAAUCCUUUUUUAAAUCUGUCAACGCAGUUGGAUUAGCAAGAUUCUCGGCUUUCGGAACACGUGAGACACUUGUAUUUUCAUUCAUGUUUAAUAUGACUAUUUAUGUAGCGAUCACCGUAUGUUGCCGAAUUGAAUUCCACUAACGGGUUCGGCAGAGAGGUUAAUUCUUCGUUAAGUCCUUGCAACAGUUGUUUUUGUCAAUAAAAUUAUCAAUAAAUUUCCUUUAACAUCCUUUGUUGUGUGCUUAUUAUUUUACCAUUGAUAUGUUCUAGGCUAUUUUGAGACCUUAUGGAGGAUCAGGUACUGCUGGAAUGUCCUCCAAUGGCAUGUCCAUCUUUUUCUGAGAAAUUACACUGGUCACUCAGAACAUUUGUAAAGUAUUUAUAAAGUAUAAAUAGCCCAUACUUUAGACAAGGUCCCACAAAAUACUUAACUAAUGAUUAAUGAAUGGUUUGUAAGGACCUAUAUUAAACAUUUUAUGACUGGAGUAAUGAUUAAUACAUGAUAAAUAAACUAUUUACCAACCAGUAUAAAUGCUUUAUGUGGAGUUAUUAUGAAGGUGUACCAAUAUUCCAUGUGAAAUCAGCAGUUUUGGUGUACAGGGCUUUUGGCUUACUUUAUGAAUUGUGUUGUGAUUUUGUCUUGUUUUUUUAUUAAUACAGAUGUAUUUUUCUCUGUAUACCUUCCUAUAUUACAUAAGCAUUGAUGCUGUGUUUCUUUUCUGAUUCAGUCCUUGUAUUGUAGAGUAUAGCUCCAAAAGCUUGUAUUUACCGAUGCCUUUACGGUCCGUGGCUUAGUGACGGGUAGAUUCAUCAGAAGCUUUUUAUUUGCACUCAUCCUCAACAAAAAU